rnacentral:tRNA from 1 species
GGGGCUAUGGCUCAGUGGAAGAGCCUCUGCUUUGCAUGCAGAAGAUGCCAGGUUCAAUCCCCAGUAUUUCCA